rnacentral:rRNA from 1 species
AGAUUAAGCCAUGCAUGUCUAAGUAUAAGCAACUAUACUGUGAAACUGCGAAUGGCUCAUUAAAUCAGUUAUCGUUUAUUUGAUAGUACCUUACUACAUGGAUAACCGUGGUAAUUCUAGAGCUAAUACAUGCUAAAAACCUCGACUUCGGAAGGGGUGUAUUUAUUAGAUAAAAAACCAAUGCCCUUCGGGGCUCCCUGGUGAUUCAUAAUAACUUAACGAAUCGCAUGGCCUUGUGCCGGCGAUGGUUCAUUCAAAUUUCUGCCCUAUCAACUUUCGAUGGUAGGAUAGUGGCCUACCAUGGUUUCAACGGGUAACGGGGAAUUAGGGUUCUAUUCCGGAGAAGGAGCCUGAGAAACGGCUACUACAUCCAAGGAAGGCAGCAGGCGCGCAAAUUACCCAAUCCCGACACGGGGAGGUAGUGACAAUAAAUACUGAUACAGGGCUCUUUUGAGUCUUGUAAUUGGAAUGAGUACAAUUUAAAUACCUUAACGAGGAACAAUUGGAGGGCAAGUCUGGUGCCAGCAGCCGCGGUAAUUCCAGCUCCAAUAGCGUAUAUUAAAGUUGUUGCAGUUAAAAAGCUCGUAGUUGAACCUUGGGCCUGGUUGGCCGGUCCGCCUCACCGCGUGCACUGGUCCGACCGGGUCUUUCCUUCUGGGGAGCCGCAUGCCCUUCACUGGGUGUGUCGGGGAACCAGGACUUUUACUUUGAAAAAAUUAGAGUGUUCAAAGCAGGCCUAUGCUCGAAUACAUUAGCAUGGAAUAAUAGAAUAGGACGUGUGGUUCUAUUUUGUUGGUUUCUAGGACCGCCGUAAUGAUUAAUAGGGAUAGUCGGGGGCAUCAGUAUUCAAUUGUCAGAGGUGAAAUUCUUGGAUUUAUUGAAGACUAACUACUGCGAAAGCAUUUGCCAAGGAUGUUUUCAUUAAUCAGUGAACGAAAGUUAGGGGAUCGAAGACGAUCAGAUACCGUCGUAGUCUUAACCAUAAACUAUGCCGACUAGGGAUCGGGCGAUGUUAUCUUUUUGACUCGCUCGGCACCUCACGAGAAAUCAAAGUCUUUGGGUUCUGGGGGG